UACGUAGGGGGCAAGCGUUAUCCGGAUUUACUGGGUGUAAAGGGAGCGUAGACGGAGAGGCAAGUCUGAUGUGAAAGGCCGGGGCUCAACCCCGGGACUGCAUUGGAAACUGUUUAUCUAGAGUGUCGGAGAGGCAAGUGGAAUUCCUAGUGUAGCGGUGAAAUGCGUAGAUAUUAGGAGGAACACCAGUGGCGAAGGCGGCUUGCUGGACGAUGACUGACGUUGAGGCUCGAAAGCGUGGGGAGCAAACAGG
rnacentral:rRNA from 1 species